rnacentral:lncRNA from 1 species
UUUUGCUUUAAUCACUCUAAUAAAUCAUUUUAAAUGCUAUUUCUAUCCAUGUCUUGGCACUCCAACAAAUGAAACUGUCAGCGAUUUGGCUAGUUUUAGUUUUUAGCUAGCAGGAUGUUAUUGGAAAUAAUGAUGUUGGUAUAGCCUUAUUCCUUGCCUUUAUUGUGGGAGGAAACUAAUGCCUUAUACGUAUUACUAAAGUCUAGAUUUCUCCAAUGAAACUUAAAGGGAUUUGAGAGUCACCUGGAAAGACUGGCUUCUGAACCAAUUUCAAGGUGGAUUUUUAAGACUACAAAUGGGAAUUUCUGGUUUGCUUUCAAAUGGUUCUGAUAUUCUUCAUUUUGUUAUGUUUUACAGCUGGUACUGGUUAUCACUGCACUUUAUUAAAUGGCAUCCCCAUUUCAAUUGAGAGUGAAGAGGUUCUUGGAUAAAGAACUUUAAAAAUCAGCCUAGAAGAUGGACUUUUGGCAAGCCAUAAUAGACUGCUCCUUUCCCAGGGCUCUUGGAUACAGCUUGGCAAACAAUACCUAUUCCAAGAAACACCAUUCUUCACCUCAGUAUGUUAUUUCCUUCAUAUAAGCAGUACUGUAUCCAGAGCUAAAAGACUUAUCUUUAAAAGUUAAUUAAUAUUUUAAAAUAAGGAAUUAUAGGUGCACUGUGACAGAAGGCCAGACUGGAUGACCUAUGAAUGAUCUGAAUUGACAGAAAGAAAAUCUAUUGUGGUUUUGUAAACUCUUUAAGAAAGUGUUGAAUUUCCAUCUAGUCAUUAGAUAGCUUUUAUUGUAAUCAUGUUCAAUGCCUUUUUUAAGAAAAGGAACUAUUCCAACUUUAUAAUACAAAAACACUUAAAAUUAGUUAUUCCAGUCUGGCAGUUGGAAAGGAAUAUUUCACAUUAUUGGUAAAGAUAGAUGUUCUUUCCAAGCAAUUAUGUUGAAUUCAAAUGAGACAUAUGUGAUGUUUUGGUUGUCCCAAUGC